rnacentral:rRNA from 1 species
GACGAACGCUGGCGGCGUGCUUAACACAUGCAAGUCGAACGGAAAGGCCCUGCUUUUGUGGGGUGCUCGAGUGGCGAACGGGUGAGUAACACGUGAGUAACCUGCCCUUGACUUUGGGAUAACUUCAGGAAACUGGGGCUAAUACCGGAUAGGAGCUCCUGCUGCAUGGUGGGGGUUGGAAAGUUUCGGCGGUUGGGGAUGGACUCGCGGCUUAUCAGCUUGUUGGUGGGGUAGUGGCUUACCAAGGCUUUGACGGGUAGCCGGCCUGAGAGGGUGACCGGCCACAUUGGGACUGAGAUACGGCCCAGACUCCUACGGGAGGCAGCAGUGGGGAAUAUUGCACAAUGGGCGGAAGCCUGAUGCAGCAACGCCGCGUGCGGGAUGACGGCCUUCGGGUUGUAAACCGCUUUCGCCUGUGACGAAGCGUUAGUGACGGUAAUUGGUAAAGAAGCACCGGCUAACUACGUG